GAUGAAGAACGUAGCGAAAUGCGAUAAGUAAUGCGAAUUGCAGAAUUCCAGUGAGUCAUCGAAUCUUUGAACGCACAUUGCGCCCUUUGGUAUUCCGAAGGGCAUGCCUGUUCGAGCGUCAUUAUCACCCCUCAAGCCCUCGGCUUGGUGUUGGACGGUUUGGUGGAGGCCCCCUCGGGGGCUCCUGCCCCUCCCAAAGACAAUGACGGCGGCCUCGUUGGACCCCCGGUACACUGAGUUCUUCACGGGACACGUAUCGGACACAUGGGUUUACGGGACACGGUCUGCCUCCCCUCAGGGAGAAUCUUUCUAAGGUUGACCGCGGAUCAGGUAGGGAUACCCGCUGAACUUAAGCAUAUCAAUAAGCGGAGGA
rnacentral:misc_RNA from 1 species